rnacentral:rRNA from 1 species
GAGUUUGAUCGUGGCUCAGAUUGAACGCUGGCGGCAUGCCUUACACAUGCAAGUCGAACGGCAGCAUGAUCUAGCUUGCUAGAUUGAUGGCGAGUGGCGAACGGGUGAGUAAUACGUCGGAACGUGCCCUGUAGUGGGGGAUAACUAGUCGAAAGAUUAGCUAAUACCGCAUACGACCUGAGGGUGAAAGUGGGGGACCGCAGGGCCUCAUGCUAUAGGAGCGGCCGAUGUCUGAUUAGCUAGUUGGUGGGUAAAGGCCCACCAAGGCGACGAUCAGUAGCUGGUCUGAGAGGACGAUCAGCCACACUGGGACUGAGACACGGCCCAGACUCCUACGGGAGGCAGCAGUGGGGAAUUUUGGACAAUGGGCGAAAGCCUGAUCCAGCAAUGCCGCGUGUGUGAAGAAGGCCUGUGUAG